rnacentral:rRNA from 1 species
AUGCUUAACACAUGCAAGUCGAACGGUAACAUUUCUAGCUUGCUAGAAGAUGACGAGCGGCGGACGGGUGAGUAAUGCUUGGGAAUAUGCCUUAUGGUGGGGGACAACAGUUGGAAACGACUGCUAAUACCGCAUAACGUCUACGGACCAAGGGGGGGGAUCUUCGGACCUCUCGCCAUUUGAUUAGCCCAAGUGAGAUUAGCUAGUUGGUAAGGUAAUGGCUUACCAAGGCGACGAUCUCUAGCUGGUUUGAGAGGAUGAUCAGCCACACUGGGACUGAGACACGGCCCAGACUCCUACGGGAGGCAGCAGUGGGGAAUAUUGCACAAUGGGCGAAAGCCUGAUGCAGCCAUGCCGCGUGUGUGAAGAAGGCCUUCGGGUUGUAAAGCACUUUCAGUUGUGAGGAAAGGUUGUAGUUUAAUAUGCUAUAGCUGUGACGUUAACAACAGAAGAAGCACCGGCUAACUUCGUGCCAGCAGCCGCGGUAAUACGAGGGGUGCAAGCGUUAAUCGGAAUUACUGGGCGUAAAGCGUUCGUAGGCGGUUUGUUAAGCAAGAUGUGAAAGCCCAGGGCUCAACCUUGGAACUGCAUUUUGAACUGGCAAACUAGAGUACUGUAGAGGGUGGUGGAAUUUCCAGUGUAGCGGUGAAAUGCGUAGAGAUCGGAAGGAACACCAGUGG